rnacentral:misc_RNA from 1 species
GGAUAGAUCAAGAGUAACUAAAUAAGGCAACCAGGUACAGAUCUGAGCAGGAAUCGUACCAGAUAGAGCAUUAGAUGAAAGAUCCAAAUUUUGCAGGCUCUUACAGUCCUUUAACGACUCAGGGAAUUGUCCAGACAGGUUCAUGUCCCGCAAUUGCAGGUUGAUAAUCCUAUUUUCUUGAUCAUUCCAGCAAGACACACCGAUGAAGUUGCAGAGGAAUCCAGAUGAUGAGUUGGCGAAGUUCCAGGAGCUGAGCCUCCCUUGCGGAUCACUAAGGGAAGUCCUAACGCCUUGCAGGCAUUUGACAUCAUCUUCGCCAAUUACAGAAGAAACUAAAGAAACCCAUAUAAUACCAGUUGACACCGUGAGUAAAGUAGCAAUCUUUCGAUUAUGAAUUGAACAACCCUUCAUGCUGAACCAAACCCAGAUCUAAAUCUUUAGUAAUUCUUUACUUUUACAAGCAAAUCAAAACCAUGGUGGAUUACACAGAGAGAGAGAGAGAGAGAGAG